rnacentral:misc_RNA from 1 species
AACGCACAUUGCGCCCGCCAGCACUCUGGCGGGCAUGCCUGUUCGAGCGUCAUUUCAACCAUCAAGCCCCAGGCUUGCGUUGGAGCCCUGCGGCUGCCGCAGCCUCCCAAAAACAGUGGCGGGCUCGCUAUCACACCGAGUGCAGUAGAUUACUCUUCGCUCAGGGCGUGUGGCGGGUUCCAGCCGUGAAACCCCCUACUUCUCAAGGUUGACCUCGGAUCAGGUAGGAAUACCCGCUGAACUUAA